rnacentral:lncRNA from 1 species
UUUACAUUGCAUGGUAUUACAUUUGCAUACGCAUUUUUCAUGAUUUCUUUAGUUUCCUUGAUUUGGGUUUAGUUUCACUAUAUUCUUCGUGUAUAUGUGUGAUGUUUUCGUUUAUGUAUAUAUUGAAACUGUUCGUGGAGACGGUGUGAGCUAUCAUUUAGGGCUUCUCUAUUUGCAGUAUUAUGUGCUCAUAGUGUUAAUUUGGUUACCUUAUUUUUUGAUUUUCUUAAUCGGCCG